rnacentral:tRNA from 1 species
UAUAGCUCAGUGGUAGAUAGAGCACGUGCUUAGCAUGCACGAGGUCCUGGGCUCAAUUCCCCAGUA